AUGCAAAAAGCAAAAUGGCUGUCUGGGGAGGCCUUACAAAGAGCUGUGAAAAGAAGAGAAGCAAAAAGCAAAAGAGAAAAGGAAAGAUAUAAGCAUCUGAAUGCAGAAUUCCAAAGAAUAGCAAGAAGAGAUAAGAAAGCCUUCCUUAGCGAUCAAUGCAAAGAAAUAGAGGAAAACAACAGAAUGGGAAAGACUAGAGAUCGCUUCAAGAAAAUUAGAGAUACCAACGGAACAUCUCAUACAAAGAUGGGUUUGAUAAAGGACAGAAAUGGUAUAUACCUAACAGAAGCAGAAGAUAUUAAGAAAAGAUGGCAAGAAUACACAAAAGAACUGUACAAAAAAGAUCUUCAUAACCAAGAUAAUCACGAUGGUGUGAUCACUCACCUAGAGCCAGACAUCCUGGAAUGUGAAGUCAAGUGGGCCUUAGAAAGCAUCACUAUGAACAAAGCUAGUGGAGGUGAUGGCAUUCCAGUUGAGCUAUUUCAAAUCCUGAAAGAUGAUGCUGUGAAAGUGCUGCACUCCAUAUGCCAGCAAAUUUGGAAAACUCAACAGUGGCCACAGGACUGGAAAAGGUCAGUUUUCAUUCCAAUCCCAAAGAAAGGCAAUGCCAAAGAAUGCUCAAACUACUGCACAAUUGCACUCAUCUCACACACUACUAAAGUAAUGCUCAAAAUUCUCCAAGCCAGGCUUCAGCAAUACAUCAACUGUGAACUUCCAGAUGUUCAAGCUGGUUUUAGAAAAGGCAGAGGAGCCAGAGAUCAAAUUGCCAACAUCCCCUGGAUCAUCAAAAAAGCAAGAGAGUUCCAGAAAAACAUCUAUUUCUUCUUUAUUGACUAUGCCAAAGCCUUUGCUUGUGUGGAUCACAAUAAACUGUGGAAAGUUCUGAAACAGAUGGGAAUACCAGACCACCUGACCUUCCUCUUGAGAAACCUAUAUGCAGGUCAGGAAGCAACAGUUAGAACAGGACAUGGAACAACAGACUGGUUCCAAAUAGGAAAAGGAGUACGUCAAGGCUGUAUAUUGUCACCCUGCUUAUUUAACUUCUAUGCAGAGUACAUCAUGAGAAACGCUGUGCUGGAAGAAGCACAAGCUGGAAUCAAGAUUGCUGGGAGAAAUAUCAAGAACCUCAGAUAUGCAGAUGACACCACCCUUAUGGCAGAAAGUAAAGAGGAACUAAAUAGCCUCUUGAUGAAAGUGAAAGAGGAGAAUGAAAAAGUUGGCCUAAAGCUCAACAUUCAGAAAACGAAGAUCAUGGCAUCCGGUCCCAUCACUUCAUGGGAAAUAGACGGGGAAACAGUGGAAACAGGGGCAGACUUUCUUUUUCUGGGCUCCCAAAUCACUGCAGAUGGUGAUUGCAGCCAUGAAAUUAAAAGAUGCUUACUCCCUGGAAGGAAAGUUAUGACCAACCUAAAUAGCAUAUUAAAAAGCAGAGACAUUACUUUGCCAACAAAGGUCCAUCUAGUCAAGGGAAUGGUUUUUCCAGUGGUCAUGUAUGGAUGUGAGAGUUGGACUGUGAAGAAAGCUGAACACUGA
rnacentral:lncRNA from 1 species